rnacentral:rRNA from 1 species
GACGAAGGGGCAAGCGUUGUUCGGAAUUACGUGGCGUAAAGGGCGCGUAGGCGGUUCUUUAAGUCAGGCGUGAAAGCCCUGGGCUCAAGCCUGGGACGUGGGCGCUUGAUACUGGGGACUAGAGAGUGGGAGAGGUUGGUGGAUUCCCAGUGUAGAGGUGGAAAUUCGUAGAUAUUGGGAAGAACACCGGUGGGCGAAGGCGGCCAACUGGACCAUUUCUGAGCGCUGAGGCGAGCGAACGAGCGUGGGGAGCAAACAGG